rnacentral:rRNA from 1 species
AACGAACGCUGGCGGCAUGCCUAACACAUGCAAGUCGAACGAAGCCUUCGGGCCUAGUGGCGCACGGGUGCGUAACGCGUGGGAAUCUGCCUUUUGCUUCGGAAUAACAGUUAGAAAUGACUGCUAAUACCGGAUGAUGUCCCCCUGAGAGAUCUUGGGGACCAAAGAUUUAUCGGCAAGAGAUGAGCCCGCGUAGGAUUAGGUAGUUGGUGGGGUAAAGGCCUACCAAGCCGACGAUCCUUAGCUGGUCUGAGAGGAUGAUCAGCCACACUGGGACUGAGACACGGCCCAGACUCCUACGGGAGGCAGCAGUGGGGAAUAUUGGACAAUGGACGCAAGUCUGAUCCAGCAAUGCCGCGUGAGAGAUGAAGGCCUUAGGGUUGUAAAGCUCUUUUACCAGGGAUGAUAAUGACAGUACCUGGAGAAUAAGUUCCGGCUAACUCCGUGCCAGCCGCCGCCGUAAUAC